rnacentral:sRNA from 1 species
AAUUAAACAAGUACAAAAAAACUGUGACACAAGAAACUGUGUUUAAUCGAUCCGAAAAAUGUUUGCAUUAUAAAUUUGGAUCAUAUCUCGAUUUAAGCGUGUCAUCCUUGCGCAGGGCACAUGCUAAUCUUCUCUGUAUCGUUCCAAUUUUAUCGGAUGUCCACGAAGGGACAAUCAUCUUAGCAACU